UACGGAGGGUGCAAGCGUUAAUCGGAAUUACUGGGCGUAAAGCGCACGCAGGUGGCUGAGUCAGUCGAUUGUGAAAGCCCUGGGCUUAACCUGGGAAUUGCAGUCGAUACUACUCGGCUCGAGUAUGGGAGAGGGCAGUGGAAUUCCCGGUGUAGCGGUGAAAUGCGUAGAUAUCGGGAGGUACAUCAGUGGCGAAGGCGGCUGCCUGGCCCAAUACUGACACUCAGGUGCGACAGCGUGGGGAGCAAACAGG
rnacentral:rRNA from 1 species